UACGUAGGCAGCAAGCGUUGUUCGGAAUUACUGGGCGUAAAGAGUGUGUAGGCGGUGUGUCGCGUCGGCCGUGAAAACCUGCAGCUUAACUGUGGGCUUGCGGUCGAUACGGGCAUCACUGGAGUUCGGCAGGGGAGACUGGAAUUCCUGGUGUAGCGGUGAAAUGCGCAGAUAUCAGGAGGAACACCGGUGGCGAAGGCGGGUCUCUGGGCCGAUACUGACGCUGAGGAGCGAAAGCGUGGGGAGCGAACAGG
rnacentral:rRNA from 1 species